UACGUAGGUGGCAAGCGUUGUCCGGAUUUACUGGGCGUAAAGGGCGUGCAGGCGGUUUGUUAAGUCUAGGGUGGAAAGCCUCCCGGCUCAACUGGGAGAGGUCCGUUGGAUACUGGCAGACUUGAGGAGGGUAGAGGAGAGUGGAAUUCCCGGUGUAGUGGUGAUAUGCGUAGAUAUCGGGAGGAACACCAGUGGCGAAGGCGGCUCUCUGGACCGAGACUGACGCUGAGGCGCGAAAGCGUGGGGAGCAAACAGG
rnacentral:rRNA from 1 species